rnacentral:rRNA from 1 species
UACAGAGGUCCCGAGCGUUGUUCGGAUUCACUGGGCGUAAAGGGUGCGUAGGUGGCCUAAAAAGUUUGAUGUGAAAGCUCAGGGCUUAACCCUGAAAUGGCAUUGAAUACUGUUGGGCUGGAGGUUUGGAGGGGGACUGGAAUUCUUGGUGUAGCAGUGAAAUGCGUAGAUAUCAAGAGGAACACCAGUGGCGAAGGCGAGUCCCUGGACAACACCUGACACUGAGGCACGAAAGCGUGGGGAGCGAACAGG